rnacentral:lncRNA from 1 species
GUAGGCCUCUUGUGCCAAACCACGUAAAUCUUGGUUCUUUGUCUUUGUUUAUUUAUGCCUGCAAUGUGUUUGGUGAAUUGUCUCAAAGAAAAUAGAUAUUAGAUCAUAAGCCUAAAUCGAUCCUAUCCGGUGCGCGUUGCUUCAACAGAUUUGAUUUGUGUAAAUUUGGAAAAAUAUGAUAUUAAAAUGCAUUAGUAUUUAAGACUCCAUCAAGUAAUAUGACUUGUACCAAGUUUCGAGUAACUUAACGUGCCAACCGAGCC